AUUGAACGCUGGCGGCAUGCUUCACACAUGCAAGUCGAACGGUAACAGGUUAAGCUGACGAGUGGCGAACGGGUGAGUAAUGCAUCGGAACGUGCCCGGUCGUGGGGGAUAACGCAGCGAAAGCUGCGCUAAUACCGCAUACGAUCUGAGGAUGAAAGCGGGGGACCGUAAGGCCUCGCGCGAUCGGAGCGGCCGAUGUCAGAUUAGGUAGUUGGUGGGGUAAAGGCUCACCAAGCCAACGAUCUGUAGCCGGUCUGAGAGGACGACCAGCCACACUGGGACUGAGACACGGCCCAGACUCCUACGGGAGGCAGCAGUGGGGAAUUUUGGACAAUGGGCGAAAGCCUGAUCCAGCAAUGCCGCGUGCAGGAAGAAGGCCUUCGGGUUGUAAACUGCUUUUGUACGGAGCGAAAAGGUCUCCUCUAAUACAGGGGGCUCAUGACGGUACCGUAAGAAUAAGCACCGGCUAACUACGUGCCAGCAGCCGCGGUAA
rnacentral:rRNA from 1 species